rnacentral:rRNA from 1 species
AUACGUAGGGUGCGAGCGUUGUCCGGAAUUACUGGGCGUAAAGAGCUCGUAGGUGGUUUGUCGCGUCGUCUGUGAAAUUCCGGGGCUUAACUCCGGGCGUGCAGGCGAUACGGGCAUAACUUGAGUACUGUAGGGGAGACUGGAAUUCCUGGUGUAGCGGUGAAAUGCGCAGAUAUCAGGAGGAACACCGGUGGCGAAGGCGGGUCUCUGGGCAGUAACGGACGCUGAGGAGCGAAAGCAUGGGUAGCGAACGGGAUUAGAUACCCUGGUAGUCCAUGCCGUAAACGGUGGGCGCUAGGUGUAGGGGUCUUCCACGACUUCUGUGCCGUAGCUAACGCAUUAAGCGCCCCGCCUGGGGAGUACGGCCGCAAGGCUAAAACUCAAAGGAAUUGACGGGG